UACGGAAGGGGCUAGCGUUGUUCGGAAUUACUGGGCGUAAAGCGCACGUAGGCGGCUUGGUAAGUUGGGGGUGAAAUCCCAGGGCUCAACCCUGGAACUGCCUCCAAAACUGCUAGGCUAGAGGAGGCGAGAGGUUGGCGGAAUUCCGAGUGUAGAGGUGAAAUUCGUAGAUAUUCGGAAGAACACCAGUGGCGAAGGCGGGCAACUGGCGCAUUUCUGACGCUGAGGUGCGACAGCGUGGGGAGCAAACAGG
rnacentral:rRNA from 1 species